rnacentral:rRNA from 1 species
UACGUAGGGUGCGAGCGUUAAUCGGAAUUACUGGGCGUAAAGUGUGCGCAGGCGGUCGAGCAAGUCGGGUGUGAAAGCCCCGAGCUUAACUUGGGAAUUGCGCUCGAAACUACUUGGCUGGAGUGUGGCAGAGGAAGGUGGAAUUCCAGGUGUAGCGGUGAAAUGCGUAGAGAUCUGGAGGAACACCGAUGGCGAAGGCAGCCUUCUGGGCCAACACUGACGCUCAUGCACGAAAGCGUGGGGAGCAAACAGG